rnacentral:rRNA from 1 species
CGGGGGGAGCAAGCGUUGUUCGGAUUUACUGGGCGUAAAGGGCGCGUAGGCGGCCUCCGCAAGUCAGUUGUGAAAUCUCCGAGCUUAACUCGGAAAGGUCAACUGAUACUGCGGGGCUAGAGUGCGGAAGGGGCAACUGGGAUUCUUGGUGUAGCGGUGAAAUGCGUAGAUAUCAAGAGGAACACCUGCGGCGAAGGCGGGUUGCUGAGCCGACACUGACGCUGAGGCGCGAAAGCUAGGGGAGCGAACGGGAUUAGAUACCCCGGUAGUCCUAGCCUUAAACGAUGAAUGCUUGGUGUCUGGGGUUAUAUAGUCCCCGGGUGCCGUCGCUAACGCUUUAAGCAUUCCGCCUGGGGAGUACGGUCGCAAGACUG